UUCUGCAGAGACUGAAGAAGAGAUGUCAAGCAUCAUCAAGACAGGUCCACUGGGUAUGAGGACACAGAACAAGUUCCAUGGACCCCAGCUUCAAAAAACAUGACUCUACAGUGUGAAAUAAUUGAGGGUAAGCACUGCGAAUUUUUUUUUUUUUGGGGGGGCCACACCCACAGGAAUGUGGAAAAUCUCAGGCUAGGGGUUAAAUCGAAGCUGCAACUGCCAGCCUACACUAUAGCCAUAGCAACUUGGGAUCCAAGCUGGGUCUGUGACCUACACCACAGCUCAUAGCAACGCUGGAUCCCCAACCCCACUGAGUGGAGCCAGAAAUGGAACCCAGAUCUUCAUGGAUAUUAGCCAGAUUCAUUUUCACUGUGCUGCAACGGGAACUCCAGCACUGUGAAUUUGGGACAUGAUGUCUCCCACACUGAGUAGAUAGUCCUGUACAUAUUGAGUCCUGAAAACACUGAAUGAAUGAAUCAAAUAGCCUUUUUUGGAGAUCCACUGUACUGGUAGUAUGCUAUGUGUUUUAUGUAUGUUCUUUCAUUCUUCUAAUGUUGUUCUAUGGCUGAGGAAACUGAAGCUAACUAGAAGUAAAAGAAGCUGAAGAUCUAGAAUUGACAAGCAUAGAAAGGAGAUAUGAAUAGAUCUGAAGUUCAAGGGGAGGACUCCUGCAUGAGCAGGGCCUUAGUCUGGGUGUUGAGACAUGUUGUGAGAUUCACCAUCAUGGCUCAGCUGGUCCUAGUUCCAGGCCCAGCUGUGGGGGGCCAUCACCUCUGAGGUCUUCUCAGGCCACCAUGUGGCAGCACCAUUGUCAGGCACUUGUUGUCAGUGACAAAAAUGGACUUCCUAUUUGCUCCUUCUAAUAGCCCCUUAAAAUAACACAUGAGUCUUUCAUAGUUUUAGCUUCCACUUGAGAACCUGCAUUCAGACUAAAACCUUUUUGUUGUGGUUGAGAUUGAUUUGCAAUCUGAUUCUUGCAUUAGAUAGCCAUUCUUAGGCUAUUAGGAGCCCCAUAGAAAAUUGCUCCAAUGGAUCCAUAUCACUUUGGGAAGUUCCCGUGGAAUUGUUCUUCCGGAGAAAUGAUAAAAACUCUGGGUCAGUCGCUAGAGUGUCAGCAGAUUGAAUGGCCAAAAGAGAAUGCCUCCCAUCUGUGGCCCUGAAGUGCUGGGUCAGCAGAGGAAAGUGGUUAAAAUAAUUACCGUGGAGUCAGGGAAUUUGGCAGAUUUGGGAGAUCACACAUGUAAAGGGACCUUUUUUCCUCCGUUUUCUUAUCUCAGACCCAUGUGAAUUGAUGAUCAUGAGGGCACCAAGGGGACAGAAAUAGACGUUAUCCUGCUCCGGUCCCAAACCGGGAAGAAAGAAAUAACCAACCCUACUUCUCUACAUGGGUGGAAUGAGGGCUGACCAGUAUGCAAAUGGCAGCAGACAUAUGGUUAUGUUCUGAUUAGCUACUAGUGAUUUGAAGCCAUGCAUAUGUAUCAACUGCUGAUGUAUGUAUGGACAAUACAUCUGUUUACACAAAUAGACUUGAAGCAUUUUUUUUUCCAUUUUUCUUAAGGAUCUAGUACUGGAUGCCCAUAGGAAAAGAUGUUUUACUUCCUUUUCCCAUUAAUUUUGAUCAGCCAGAAUCAAACUACUUUGUUUUCUCUUAUUCUUACUUUUGUGAAGGAACUUUUUCUUUGUGUGUGUAGCUUUACUAACCAUAUUGUUUGGGCUCUUGAAAAAGGAGGUAUGGGAGUUCCCAUUGUGGCCUAACAAGAUUGGCAGCAUCUCUGGAGUACUGGGAUACAGGUUAAGUCCCCGGCCCAGCACAACAGAUUAAGGAUCUGGCAUUGCCUCAGCUAUAGCAUAGGUUGAAACUGCAGCUCGGAUCUAAUCCCUGGCCUGGGAACUCUAUGUGCCAUGGGGUAGUCAAAAAAAAAAAAAAAAAGAAGAAAGAAAGAAAGAAAAGGAAAAGGAGAUAUGAUAUGGUGUUCAUUUCAAAUAAACCUUUGUUUAUUUAGCAAAAAUUUCUGUUUAAGAUGCUGUGCUAUGCAAGGUGAAAAGAGAUAUGGAGGGAUGGAAAAGCAAGAUGGGGCCAAAUGUUUAAAAACACCUGCUGUGAAUGUUACCUAAUAUGUUGAAAGGGUCUCUGCAGAUAUAUUUUAAGUUAAAGAUCUUGAGAUGGGGCACUUACUCUGGAUUAUCCCAGUAGAUCCAAUGUAAUCACUGGCUCCAUAAAAGAUAGAGGCAGGAGUUCAGAGUGAAUAGUAGGAAAUGAGAUGAUGGAAAAGAAGGUUCAGUGAUGCUCUUGGAAGACGGGACCUCAAGUCAAGGAUUGCAGCUAAAAUGACUAGGAAAUAGAUUCCUUCUGAACUUCCCAAGGAACACAGUGCUGAUAAUACUUUGAUUUGGAUUUUGGAAUAAUCAUUUUGCUUUAGGUCAUUAUGUUUGUCACAGCAGCAAAAGGAAAAUAACACACAUACUUCUUCGGCUCAAGGAGAGACAUUUAAUCCAGUAUAUUAAUAUGUGUUUUUUCUGUUUAUGUCAUAUGCAUAUGGUCAAUCCAAUUAGCUGCUUUUCAAGGUGCUAGUCCAUAAAUAUAUAUACAUAUAUAUUUAUGGCUGUACCUGUGGCAUAUGGAAGUUCCCAGGCCAGGGGUGGAGCAGAGCCCCAUCUGCAGCCUACUUGAAGCUUGUGGCAAUGCUAGAUCUUAACCCAAUGAACGAGGCCAGGGAUGGAACCCACAUCCUCAUAACUCUAUGUUGGCAUCUUAACCCACUGAGCCACAACAGUAAAGUCCUCCAAUAUUUUCUUAUUAGUUCUCCUAAAAAAUACAUAUGAAUCUAAGGUUAGCAGGGAAGUUAAGGAGAGGCUAGACAGUACUUGAGGACAUGCUUAGGGAGUCCAGGGAGCUUGCUGUGGGAGGGCUUGUUGUCUCUGAUGUGGUUAGAAAGGCUAGGCUGUGCUGUCGUAACAAACAACGUCAAACCUCAGAGUGACAGAAGUUUUCUUUCUGCUGGUUCCAAGUCUGUGCCUGCCUUAGUGACUCUCCAGUUCCCCUCCAUGUGAUGGUCUGGUGUCAAAUUUCCACAUCAACAUCUGCUUCCCUGUUAGCCAUGGCAGGGCAGGGGGAGGCUGGAGGGUCUCACACAUGUUUCUGCCUGCAAGUGACACUUGUACCUCAUUGGCCAAAGGCAGUCACGUGGCUACAUCUAAUUUCAAGGAAGUGGGAAAGUGUAAUGAUAGUCUCUUGUGCCAGGGGAAGGAAGCUAAUAUUGUCACAGACCCAGAUUUCAUUUUAAUUGUUAGUGCUAAGAAAGUGUUAUCAUGAACAAACUCAGCUGAUUUUUAAUACCAUAUUCUUUUAUUUUAAAGGUCUUAAAAAACCACUUACAGAGAGCUAGACAAGAACAGUAGGAAGCUAAUAAUAAAGACAGUGAAAACCCAAGUGGUGCUAAAUUAAGUAUUUAGUAACAUUUGUAAAGAAAUGGAAAAUCAUAUCUAAUUAUUUCACUGUGAUUACCUUUUCCUCAGCCAGAAAGCCUUUGGCAUGCAGUGUAUUUCUAUAGGUAUUCCAUGCUGAUUUAAUAUCAAUUAAUAUCUACUUGCAGGAAAAUGUUGACAGUAAGUUUUAAAAUUCCUAAGCUUGACAUUUGGCAGCAUAAUUGGGCAUAAAUGAAGGAGCUUUCCAGGUUGCUGCUGAUGGCACCUCAGAUGGAUGGGAAGUGGCGUUUCAGCCUUGGCCAAGGAGGCCAGCUGAGCUCACUUGAUGUAAUUUAAGAUAUGUUGCGUCUAGGAAUAUGACAAAAGAAUUGUGUUUGUUUAUUCAUUUAUUUUGUUUUUCCUUCUUACAAGUUAACUAGUGCCCCCAGCACACAGUAUUUAGGCCCCAUGUUCCUGACAAGAGCAUUCUGAUCCAAGUGGCCUUUAAAUGUCUCUUGAUGGAGUUCCUGUCUAAUUUAGACUUUUUUUUCCCCCCUUGGGAAGGGGUUAAUAGUUACUAUAGUAACUAUAAGUAUAAUAGUACUAUAGUAAUUAUAAAGUCUUCCAACUAAGAUUUUCAGGAUUUUGUUUCUUUGUUUUUGACCUUAAUUGUAAUUACCUUCUUAGGAACAUUCUUCCUAACCCUGUCAGGGCAAGAUUGUGGAUUUCUUUACACUUUGGUCUUUAACUUUGAUAUGUGGUUACUAAUCUCCAAAUCAUUGAGUCUCUUUUGCCUUUUCUUAUCUUGCUCAGUGUUUCCUUGGAGAGGAGUCAAACCUGGCGUCCCUUUGAAUUUAAUGGGAAUGCCAGGUAGUCUAAAAGUCAAGUAAGAAACAGGCCUCCUUUGGUGUAAAAUUUACCAGGUAUGAGGUCUGCAUUAUCCUGCAUUGAAUGUGCAUAGAAAAACUGGUCUGCAGCCUUCCAGAGCAUACCAGAAGUUUGGAAUGUUCUUAUUAUUGUCAAUAAAUCAAAGAAAAUAGCCAUCCCAGGGGAAUUAACUUAGAGGUUUCUAGACUCCCACUCUGUGUGGAUCUCAUGAUGAAGGGGAAUCUCCUCUUACUGGAUCCUAUAACCACUCACACCAAGCUCGUCUGUACAGUUCCUGCCUCUACUUAACUUAAUAAGGAAGUUGCCUCUUCUUGAUAAUUGAAACAACCAGUAAGGUUGGGAAAGGGGAAAUCCCACUUCUGGCUUGAAAUACAAGGUAAGAAAUAUUUUUUUUUUCUCAUCAGUGUACCUCCCUCAUGUUGAGCUAGUGGUUUCAUGUAACUUGGUUUACAAGAUCAUCAGCAAAUAUUUUCAGAGUGCUAACUAUGUGCUAGGCAUUAGGCCAGGUGCUAAGAAUUAAACUUGAAACAACACUGAAUCUCUCUUCUCCUGGGAACAGCUAGUGUGAAAUUCAGAACAAAAAAAAAAAGCUAAGGAUAGCACAGUAUGAUAAUGAGAUAGAGAGAGAGAGAGCACAGGUGCUCUGGGAAAACCAAGGGGCACCUAACCUGUAUUGGGGUUGUGGGGGAGGGCUGGGAAAGGCUUCCUGGAAGAGGCAGAGCCAAAAUAAAGGAUAAGCAGGAGCUAGGGCAAAGCUGGGAACGAGGCUGGGAAGACAGCAUGAUAAGCUGAAAAAGAACAGGAGCCAAGACUCAGAAAUGAGAGGGAGUAUUUGAGGUGGGAAAAGCAUGGGGUGACAUGAUCAAAUUUACAUUUUAGGAAGAUCACUUGGGCCUCAGCAUUAAGUGACCUAGAGGACUUAAAACACACAUACAUCUUUAGAGAAACUGGUUGGAAGAGGACUUCAGUAAUGUGAGAGAUGUUGAUGCCUAAACUAGUCUGGUGACCAAAAGAUAAAGAGGUAUAUGGAGGAAGGAAACCUGACAGCCAUUGAUGAUAGGUGGUUCGCCAGGUCAAGAGGUCUGGUCUAAGUUACCGAGUCAGUGCUGAUACCAUUUUCAGAGAUCAGAAACAUGGGCAUACGAGCAGAUUUGAAGAGGGAGGAUGAUGGCUGUGGUUUGUGUUGUGCAGGGUUUGAGGUACCUGUGGACAUACCCAUGGAGAUGUCCAGGAGGCAGUCGUUUAUAUGGGUUCACUGCUCAGAGGAGAUCUCUGAAGAUAAGUUGGCAGUCACCAGCAUGUAGACGGUAAUCAAAGAUACUACCUGGAGUGACUGCCAAGGGAGCAGCAGUAGACAUAAUGCUGAGGAGCACUACCAACCAAGGGUUAAGCCACAGACUGAGAUAAAAAGGAAACUGGGAGCUUAUUCUACAGAAUUAUGACCCUAAGAAAAACGAGAUGAAACUAAACAUAGCCCCAAUUCUUAGUAUGUUUUACUGUAAGAUAUCAGGAAAGGCAAGGAAAAGUUCAGAAUUGGGCUAACAAAAGUGAAAUCAUAGACUUCUGUUUUAAUACUUACCAGUGUGUGUGUGUGUCUGUAUGUGUGUGGUUGUUUGGGACUUAGGGAAGGAAACAGGAGACAUAGGGAAUAUUGUCACCAGAUAUUACUUAUGUUCCCUUAGCUCAGUCAUCUAUGGAAUGUUUAGUCCCUUAACAUAUAUUUAUUUAGAGCCUACAUAUAAAACAUUUCUGCUAGGGCAGUGGAGGAUAUACAAGAAGUAUAUCUGUUCCCUGACAGCUUGUGAUCUAGUUAGAGAUGUGACACCUGUAUAAUAGCAUCAGCAGUAGAUACAAUGUAUGAUGAGUUCAGGAACUUGCAUAGAAAAUAAGAUCUGGGAGUUCCUAUCAUGGCUCAGGGGUAAUGAAACCAAUUAGUAUCCAUGAGGAUGUAGGAUGGAUCCUUGGCCUUGCUCUAUGGAUUAAGGAUCUGGUGUUGCUGUGAGCUGUAGUGUAGGCCAUAGAUGCAGCUCACAUCUGGCGUGGCUGUGGUCUAGGCUGGCAGCUGCAGCUCUGAUUCAACCUCUAGCCUGGUAACUUCCAUAUGCCACAGUUG
rnacentral:lncRNA from 1 species